rnacentral:rRNA from 1 species
AGAGUGAACGCUGGCGGUAGGCCUAACACAUGCAAGUCGAACGGCAGCACAGUAGGAGCUUGCUCUUACGGGUGGCGAGUGGCGGACGGGUGAGGAAUACAUCGGAAUCUACCUUUUGGUGGGGGAUAACGUAGGGAAACUUACGCUAAUACCGCAUACGCCCUUCGGGGGAAAGCCGGGGACCAGCAAUGGCCUGGCGCUGAUAGAUGAGCCGAUGUCGGAUUAGCUAGUUGGUGAGGUAAUGGCUCACCAAGGCGACGAUCCGUAGCUGGUCUGAGAGGAUGAUCAGCCACACUGGAACUGAGACACGGUCCAGACUCCUACGGGAGCAGCAGUAGGAAUAUGGACAAUGGGCGAAAGCCUGAUCCAGCAAUGCCGCGUGAGUGAUGAAGGCCGUUAGGUUGUAAAGCUACUUUACCCGAGACUGAUAA